rnacentral:rRNA from 1 species
GUAGGUGGCAAGCGUUUGUCCGGAAUUAUUGGGCGUAAAGCGCGCGCAGGCGGUUCUUUAAGUCUGAUGUGAAAGCCCACGGCUCAACCGUGGAGGGUCAUUGGAAACUGGAGAACUUGAGUACAGAAGAGGAAAGCGGAAUUCCACGUGUAGCGGUGAAAUGCGUAGAGAUGUGGAGGAACACCAGUGGCGAAGGCGGCUUUCUGGUCUGUAACUGACGCUGAGGCGCGAAAGCGUGGGGAGCAAACAGGAUUAGAUACCCUGGUAGUCCACGCCGUAAACGAUGAGUGCUAAGUGUUAGGGGGUUUCCCGCCCCCCUUAGUGCUGCAGCUAACGCAUUAAGCACUCCGCCUGGGGAGUACGGCCGCAAGGCUG